rnacentral:rRNA from 3 species
CGGUGAUCUAGCCAUGGGCAGGUUGAAGGUUGGGUAACACUAACUGGAGGACCGAACCGACUAAUGUUGAAAAAUUAGCGGAUGACCUGUGGCUGGGGGUGAAAGGCCAAUCAAACCGGGAGAUAGCUGGUUCUCCCCGAAAGCUAUUUAGGUAGCGCCUCGUGAAUUCAUCUCCGGGGGUAGAGCACUGUUUCGGCUAGGGGGCCAUCCCGGCUUACCAACCCGAUGCAAACUGCGAAUACCGGAGAAUGUUAUCACGGGAGACACACGGCGGGUGCUAACGUCCGUCGUGAAGAGGGAAACAACCCAGACCGCCAGCUAAGGUCCCAAAGUCAUGGUUAAGUGGGAAACGAUGUGGGAAGGCCCAGACAGCCAGGAUGUUGGCUUAGAAGCAGCCAUCAUUUAAAGAAAGCGUAAUAGCUCACUGGUCGAGUCGGCCUGCGCGGAAGAUGUAACGGGGCUAAACCAUGCACCGAAGCUGCGGCAGCGACACUGUGUGUUGUUGGGUAGGGGAGCGUUCUGUAAGCCUGUGAAGGUGUGUCGUGAGGC